AGUCGAGCGCCCCGCAAGGGGAGCGGCGGACGGGUGAGUAACGCGUGGGAAUCUGCCCUUUGGUGUGGGACAACCACGGGAAACUGUGGCUAAUACCGCAUGAGCCCGAGAGGGGAAAGCAGCAAUGCGCCGAAGGAUGAGCCCGCGUCGGAUUAGCUAGUUGGUGGGGUAACGGCCUACCAAGGCGAUGAUCCGUAGCUGGUCUGAGAGGAUGAUCAGCCACACUGGGACUGAGACACGGCCCAGACUCCUACGGGAGGCAGCAGUGGGGAAUAUUGGACAAUGGGGGAAACCCUGAUCCAGCCAUGCCGCGUGAGUGAUGAAGGCCUUCGGGUUGUAAAGCUCUUUCGGCGGGGACGAUGAUGACGGUACCCGCAGAAGAAGCCCCGGCUAACUUCGUGCCAGCAGCCGCGGUAAUACGAAGGGGGCUAGCGUUGUCCGGAAUUACUGGGCGUAAAGCGCGCGUAGGCGGCCAUGCAAGUCGGACGUGAAAGCCCGGGGCUUAACCCCGGAACUGCGCCCGAGACUGCACGGCUCGAGACCAGGAGAGGGGAGCGGAAUUCCCAGUGUAGAGGUGAAAUUCGUAGAUAUUGGGAAGAACACCGAUGGCGAAGGCGGCUCCCUGGCCUGGUUCUGACGCUGAGGCGCGAAAGCGUGGGGAGCAAACAGGAUUAGAUA
rnacentral:rRNA from 1 species